GUUGUUGUGUGUGGGUGAGGGAGAGUAUGGAUAUGAGAGAGAAACAAAUUAGAUAAGUGAGGAAGGUGGAUUAGGGUUAGGCAAGUGUUUUUUAUUUUUUUUCAAUUGGGGCUACAGUAGGGAUGACAGAAAAAAGGUUGGAGUGAGAGAGAUGAAAAAAAGAAAGGGUUGAGAGGAACGGGAGAUGUGAGUAAGGGUUUGGGGGUUUCUUUUUUUUUUUUAGUUUUGAGAAUGAGAGAAAAGGUUGGAGUGAGACAGAUGAAAGAGAAAGGGUUGAAAGGAAUGAGAGAAGUGAGUAAGGGUUUGGGGGUUUCUUUAUUUUUAUUUUUUU
rnacentral:lncRNA from 1 species